CCCUUUGGUAGGGGGAGCUACCAUUUUCUUCUUUUUUUUUUUAUGGUUAGCAAUAAAGUAUUUUUAAUUAAGGUAUGUACGUUGUUUUUUUAGACAUAAUGCUACUGCAUACUUAACAGACCACAGUAUAGUGUAAAUAUAACUUUUAUAUGCACUGGGAAAUCAAAAAAUUGGUGUGACUUGCUUUAUUGUGAUAUUCCCUUUAUUGCGGUGGCCUGGAACUGAGCCCACGAUCUCUCUGAAGUGUGCCUGUAAAUUGUAUGUAUUCUCUUCUGACCCAAGUUAUCCUUUUCAUAUCUGUUGGGGAAGGGUUAUAUUUUUUAUCCUAGGUAUUCUGUUAGGAGUCCCUGAAUUUCAACAGCUGGAGGAGGAUAAACCCCACUGAAAAAGGAGGCGUUACACUCAACGAGCACCCGUGGAAUUUUGCAGAAACUUCCCCAGAUGAGUUUCAGUUGUGGAAUCCAAAUGAGGGAUGAAGACUGAGGAAGAAGGGGUGAGAUGCUUGAAGCUCAGACACCGAAAACAAAGGGGCGGAUCACAGAGGAAUCGUCGGGAAAUCGCCAGGAGCUGGAAAUUCAAGGAGGGACCCCACAAAUGCUCCCCCUUUUCUGAGAAAAGACACAGGCAUCAGGAACUCAGCUCACGGAUAACUGCUGAAGGAAUGCCAGCCUACCA